GCCUAGCCGUAAACUUUAAUUUACACCUCGCCCGCCAGGGAACUACGAGCAAAGCUUAAAACCCAAAGGACUUGACGGUACCCCACAUCCACCUAGAGGAGCCUGUCCUAUAAUCGAUAACCCCCGCUUCACCUCACCAUUUUUAGCUUCUCAGUCUGUAUACCUCCGUCGUCAGCUUACCUCGUGAGCGCUAGCUAGUGAGCCCAACGCCUUUACGCCAACACGUCAGGUCAAGGUGCAGCAUAUGAAAUGGAAAGAGAUGGGCUACACUGUCUAAUCUAGACAACACGAAAGACUAUUUAUGAAACCUAGUCAGAAGGCGGAUUUAGAAGUAAAAAAAGACCAUUGUGCUUUCUUUAACUUGGCACUGGGGUGUGUACACACCGCCCGUCACCCUCUUCAAAGCUCUAAUAUAGUUUUUAACACAAUAUACUAAACUAGAAGAGGUAAGUCGUAACAAGGUAAGUAUACCGGAAGGUGUGCUUGGAAAA
rnacentral:rRNA from 1 species